rnacentral:rRNA from 1 species
GUACAACUUUCAGCAAUGGAUGUCUAGGCU